rnacentral:rRNA from 1 species
UACGUAGGGUGCAAGCGUUAAUCGGAAUUACUGGGCGUAAAGCGUGCGCAGGCGGUUGUGCAAGACAGAUGUGAAAUCCCCGGGCUCAACCUGGGAACUGCAUUUGUGACUGCACGGCUAGAGUGUGUCAGAGGGGGGGUAGAAUUCCACGUGUAGCAGUGAAAUGCGUAGAUAUGUGGAGGAAUACCGAUGGCGAAGGCAGCCCCCCUGGGAUAACACUGACGCUCAUGCACGAAAGCGUGGGGAGCAAACAGG